rnacentral:rRNA from 1 species
UACGUAGGUGGCAAGCGUUAUCCGGAAUUAUUGGGCGUAAAGAGCGCGCAGGUGGUUAAUUAAGUCUGAUGUGAAAGCCCACGGCUUAACCGUGGAGGGUCAUUGGAAACUGGUUGACUUGAGUGCAGAAGAGGGAAGUAGAAUUCCAUGUGUAGCGGUGAAAUGCGUAGAGAUAUGGAGGAACACCAGUGGCGAAGGCGGCUUCCUGGUCUGCAACUGACACUGAGGCGCGAAAGCGUGGGGAGCGAACAGG